CUUCGUCCUCCUUCCUUCCUUACCUUCCUCCUUCCUUCCUUCCUUCCUUCCCUUCCUUCCUUCCCUUCCUUCCUUCCUUCCUUCCUCUUCCUUCCUUCCUUCCUUCCUUCCUUCCUUCCUUCCUUCCUUCCUUCCUUCCUUCCUUCCAUGCUUUUCCUCCUCUUCCUUCCAUUCCUUCCCUUCCCUCCUUCCUUCCUUCUUCCAUUCCUUCCUUCCUCUCGUCCUUCCUUCCUUCCUUCCUUCCUUCCUUCCUUCCUCCCCUCCGCUCCUUCCUUCCCUUCCCUUCCUUUCUCCUCCUUCCUGCCUGUCCUUCCUUCCUUCCUUCCCCUGUCCUUUCUUUUUCCUUACCUUCGUUCCUUACCUUCGUUCCUUACCUUCGUUCCUUACCUUCGUUCCUUCUUCCUUCUCCUUCCUUCCCUUCCUUACUUCUUCCUUCCUUCCUUCCCUUCCUUCCUUCCUUCCUUCCUUCCUUCCUUACCUUUCCUUCCUCUCCUUCCUUCCUUCCUUCCUUCCUUCCUUCCUUCCUUCCUUCCUGCCUGCCCUUUCCUUCUUCCUUCCUUCCUUCCUCCUCCUUCCUUCCUUCCAUUCUUUCCCUUCCUUCCUUUCCUUCCUUCCUUCAUUCAUUCCUUUCCUUCCAUUCAUUCAUUCCUUCCUUCCUUCCUUCCUUCCUUCCCUUCCUUCCUUCCCUCCUUCCUUCCUCUUCCUUUCCUCUUCUUCCUUCCUCUUCCUUCCUUCCUCUCCUUCAUUCCUUCCUUCCUUCCUUCCUUCCUUCCUUCCUUCCUUCCUUCCUUCCUUCUUCCUUCGUCCUUCUUCCUUCCUUCCUUCCUUCCUUCCUUCCUUCCUUCCUUCCUUCCUUCCUGCCUUCCUUCCAAGGAAGGAAGGAAGGAAGGAAGGAAGGAAGGAAGGAAGGAAGGAAGGAAGGAAGAAAAAGGCUUCAGAAUCUGGUUUAAAAACCAGAGCUAGUUGUCCAGAGAACUUUUGACAGCUCUGUCCUAAGAGAUAUUCAGAAGAUAAGCAAAUGAGGCCCUGAGCAACCUCAUCUAAAUACGAAGUUAGUCCUUCUUAAAGACCUUUGGGGAUCCUUUACAAUCUCAUUUUUAUUAUGAUUUUAUGAUUCAAGGAACUCAGAAGAGAAAGGAG
rnacentral:lncRNA from 1 species